UUAGUGCUGCUCUCAACCUCAAUUGGAGAAGCUUCUGCUUGCGGAGAGCAAUGGUUAACGCAAAGACUUAUAACCACCAAAUUGACCAUUGUGACUAAACUGACUCCUGUCCCUCAUGAUUCUUAUGUUGAAGCCUGAUGAAAGUCUGAGGAUGGGGACUUCGUGAUAAGAAGAGAUACCUGGGGACUCUGUGCGAAAGGAAGACAUAGCCAGAAGACAAAUACCUUCAAGAAUGGAGAAAACCCUUUACCAAACCCUCAUCAUUCUGGUAUCUUGAUUUGCAGUGCUCAGGACUGAGAGGAAAAACAAACAUUCUGUUUUUUUUUUUUUCUAAGCCACGCAGUCUGUGGUAUUCUGCACAGUGGCCUGAGCUAAAACACUUCCUACAAUACAAAUGUAGCUGGAGACUUUUCUCAGCUGUCCCCUUUCGCGGGAAGUUGGCGGGGACUUUAGACACUAAGAGGAUAGAAGACCCAGGCUUCUGCUUUCCCUGCGGAGAUGCUACUUUACCUGAGCGUCUUGACUUUGACAGAAGUUGUGUGAGCUCCUAUUCUGCUGCCGUGACAAGGCACCAUGACCAAGGCAAUCCAUAGAAGAAGGAAUUUAAUUGGGCUUCUGGUUUCAGAGGGUUGGAGUCUAUGAUGGUGGAGGAGAGAUAGCAACUGGCAAGAACUGGAUGCUGACAACAGAAGCUAUGGGCUCCAUCUUGAACUGCAAUCAGGAAGCAGAGAGAAUUCCCUACAGUGGGAAUGGCACAAAGGUUUGAGACCUCAAAGCCUUCCCCAGUGACAUACUUCUUCCAGGAGGCCCAAACUCUUAAAUCUAUUUAAUCUACUAGUUAGGAACCAAAUAUUCAAACAUCUGGACCUAUGUGGGAUGGUACAUUCUUAUUCAAACCACCGCAGAAGCCAGGAACACCAGCACAUCUUUCUGGAUGCAGAGUGAUCUCGGUACUUCCUAGGUUGAGAAACUCCAAGCACUUUGGUGAGGACACUGGUUUUACACAGUGCCAACUCACCGGGGGCAUCCUAUGGGAAAUGUAGUCAUGCUUUAUGGUUCCUUUCAGACGCAAGCUGUUUCUCCAGU